AUAGUGUUAGUUUAUUUAAAACAUGAAUUUGCAAAAUUCAAGAAUUAUUGAUACUAUU
rnacentral:tRNA from 1 species